rnacentral:lncRNA from 1 species
UUGAAGUAAGCGUACCCUUUAAACCAAUAUGUAUGUGUUACGACAUGUGGCAACACAAAUUAAUAAAAUAUGUUGUCGAUAUCUUAUAUCGUGUUUAAAAAGAGGUGAAAAUAAGCCAAAAUCCAAAUUUAGAAAUGACCUUGACCUUUGACCUUGACCCUAUUCUCUUCUUUUUUUUGGGACCAAGGACCUCAAAUCAAAAGAACCUAGGUCUCUAUCACUUAUGAUUUACCAAUUACAAUUACAUUUUACUUAUUUUAAAUACAGAAGGGG